GAGGUGAGGAGAGUGAAGCACAGGCCAGCAUCGCCACACCAGGUCCAUCCGGCCAAGUUGCUGGUAUUCAGUGGGAGCCGGCCCAUGAGCAGGAAUUACAAAGGCCAGAAGACAUGCUGGCACCAUUUGAAACACCAAGAAAAAGAAAGCAGGCAAAGGUCGACACCCCUGAAAAGGCUUUUUUGCGAGCUCGCACAGCAAGACUUGCCUCAGAGCAGCAAAGAUCAAGGAAAGCAAUCAAAAGACUUCAGCAGUC
rnacentral:lncRNA from 1 species